GAUGAACGCUGGCGGCGUGCCUAAUACAUGCAAGUCGAGCGAACAGACGAGGAGCUUGCUCCUCUGACGUUAGCGGCGGACGGGUGAGUAACACGUGGAUAACCUACCUAUAAGACUGGGAUAACUUCGGGAAACCGGAGCUAAUACCGGAUAAUAUAUUGAACCGCAUGGUUCAAUAGUGAAAGACGGUUUUGCUGUCACUUAUAGAUGGAUCCGCGCCGCAUUAGCUAGUUGGUAAGGUAACGGCUUACCAAGGCAACGAUGCGUAGCCGACCUGAGAGGGUGAUCGGCCACACUGGAACUGAGACACGGUCCAGACUCCUACGGGAGGCAGCAGUAGGGAAUCUUCCGCAAUGGGCGAAAGCCUGACGGAGCAACGCCGCGUGAGUGAUGAAGGUCUUCGGAUCGUAAAACUCUGUUAUUAGGGAAGAACAAAUGUGUAAGUAACUAUGCACGUCUUGACGGUACCUAAUCAGAAAGCCGCGGCUAACUACAUG
rnacentral:rRNA from 1 species